GAUGAACGCUGGCGGCGUGCCUAAUACAUGCAAGUCGAGCGAACAGACGAGGAGCUUGCUCCUCUGACGUUAGCGGCGGACGGGUGAGUAACACGUGGAUAACCUACCUAUAAGACUGGGAUAACUUCGGGAAACCGGAGCUAAUGCCGGAUAAUAUAUUGAACCGCAUGGUUCUAUAGUGAAAGACGGUUUUGCUGUCACUUAUAGAUGGAUCCGCGCCGCAUUAGCUAGUUGGUAAGGUAACGGCUUACCAAGGCAACGAUGCGUAGCCGACCUGAGAGGGUGAUCGGCCACACUGGAACUGAGACACGGUCCAGACUCCUACGGGAGGCAGCAGUAGGGAAUCUUCCGCAAUGGGCGAAAGCCUGACGGAGCAACGCCGCGUGAGUGAUGAAGGUCUUCGGAUCGUAAAACUCUGUUAUUAGGGAAGAACAAAUGUGUAAGUAACUAUGCACGUCUUGACGGUACCUAAUCAGAAAGCCACGGCUAACUACGUG
rnacentral:rRNA from 1 species